GAAGCCUCUCCAGAUGAGCUUAUUAGCCAAAGGAACACCAAUGAUGAUUUCUUUCAUAGUUGGCUUCUUGUCAUCUCAUACAGUAAUCAAGUAACUCCUUCCAACCCACCCAAUCCAACCAACAAUUUACAAGAAGGGUAUCCCUGGUGUUAUGAACUCUCCCCAGUGCCUUUGGUCUCCUCUCACUAUCAAGUGUGGCAAUCCAUCUGAUCCACACAACAAUCCUUGCUUCCCAUAGUUGUCAAACCUGCAUUUAAAUUUUGAGAUGAGAAAAAUAACACAUCUUUGAAAUACAUGUUUUAAAAAUAACUAUAUUCAAUUACAUUUUCAGGUCAUAUAUUACCACUAGCAUAAGGUGUUAUUGAUUCAAAGAACGAUGCUGCUUGGACAUAAUUUUUUGAGCAAUUCAAGAUAGAACAUGGUAACGGAGAAAACAUGUGCAUCGUUUCAGAUAGAAAUGAGAGUAUCAUUAAAUCUGUAUCGAGAGUGUAUCCAGAUGUAUUGCAUUUUGCUUGUAUUUGGCAUCUAUGAAACAACGUAUAUAAGAAAUUCAAAAAGAGCCAUGCCAAGUUGAGUGAGAUAUGUGUUUCAACAGUCCCAAUGGGUCUAUAUUGUGAUCUGGGACCUGAUUGUAUGCCCGAAAUCGGAUUCCGAGGUCCUUAUCUCGAGAUAUAAUUUUUUGUUGAAAACUGAAAGCCUAAAAAUUUAAUGGUUUUUUAAGAAUUGAUUAAGACUUGGUCUUGUUGAUACCAGGCCCGUAUUUUGGUUUCGAAGCCUGGUACGGGUCCAUUAUAAUAUUUAUGACUUGUCUCUAAAAUUUGGUGAGAAACGGAGUUAGUUUGAGGUGAUUCAGACGUCCGGUUGUGAAAAAUAGAAGUUUUAAAGUUUUCUGGAAAUAUUCAUUUGAUUUGCUAUUCAAUUUGUAGUUCUAGGUGUUAUUUUGGAGAUUUGAUCGCGCAAGCAAGUGCGUAUGAUAAUUUUCGACUUGUGUGCAAUUUUGAUUUAGAGUCCCGAGAGCUCGGAUGAGUUUCAGAUAGUCUAUAGAGUGAAAUUGAGCAUAGAGCAUUGAUGGUUCUACAAUUGGUGUCUAAUCUCGCAUUUGCAAGAUCACUGUUCAUAUUUGAGAGCAUUCCCCAACCUGGCAAGUCGCAAUUGCAAGCAAAUUCAUCCCAUUUACGAAGAGUACCUGGGCCAGCCUUAAUUCGUAUUGCGAUCUAGAGGUCGCAUAUGCGGGCUAGAUCAUGUAGUGGUCGCAAUUAUGGAUUGGUAAGUGUUCGCAUAUGCGAAUUUUUCAUCGCAAAUGCGAUGACUACAGAGGUGUGGGGGUCUUUGCAAAUGCGAUGGAUUUCUCGCAUUUGCGGGCUUCGCAUUCCCAGGUUGCAAAUGCGACAUCUGUAGCUGAACAAAUUAUGAAUUAGACGUAAUUUUUGGUCCAUUCUUUAAAUUUUCAAAACCUAAAACCUUAGAGGCAAUUUUUCCAGACUCCUUCUUCCCCAAGUCGUUGGUAAGUGAUUCUAACCUACAUCAUUUCAAUCUUUCACUGCAUUUCACAAGUUUUCAACCUAAAAUCUAGAGUUUUCAUGGUGGAAUUAGGGGUUUUGGGUAAAAAUUAGGUAUUUGGUAAAUUAGUGAUUUAGACUUUAAAUUAAGGUUGGAUUUCAAAACCAAUCAUACAACCAGGCACGUGGGUGAAUGGGUAAUAGGAUUUUGGUCCGAAUUUUGGAUUUGGACCAAGUGAUACUGGUGGUUGACUUUUUCAAUAAUGACCUAAAUUGAAUCUUUGCAAUCGUGGGUGAUUCCUAAAGCUUAUUUUAAAUUAUUUGGUUGGUAAUUUGCUAGAUAUUAUUGGUUUGGAGGCUUGUUUUAAAGGAAAAGCUAUGGUUGAGCUUUAUGUGGUCUUUGAAGUGAGGUAAGUAUUAUGUCUAACUUUGACUUGAGGGAAUUAGGAAUCCUCGGACUAUGUGCUAUGUCGGCGUAUAUAAAUGAGGUGACCAGUGCUUAUACUCUGCCGAAUUAUCUAUUUUUCCUGACUUUCUGCUUUUCCUUAAUUAUUUCCUUCAUGUCCAAACCGUUAUAUGCUCUAAAUAUUUUCUAUGCUUAAUUGCUACUUGUUAUUCAGUAUCUUCUCAUAUUCACGAUGUUAGUCUUCCUUAGUUUCAUGAUUCCCUACUAAUUAACUUACUUACACCUUCUAAUUGUCAAUUGAUGGAUUGGUCUCCCUAUGUAGUAUUACUAGUGUAGAUUUCUUCAUUGUACAAGUCCUCUCUAGGUUUAGUUUCGUAUUUAUUGAUCGUAAAUGCUUGGUGGUUGAACUAUUGAUUUGAUUGUGCUUUGAGUAUUUGGCACUGAUAUGGUGGGAACGAGAUGCACACCGCAACAUGUAUAAUAAUGAUGGAUUGAUAUGGUGGAAUAAAAGUGAAUAUGUUCUAUACGAUGGGAUCGGGUUGCACGCCAAAAAGGUGGAAUUCGGGUAAAUUGAUACGACAAAAUAAGGGUGCAUUAUAAUAUUGAUAUUGACAUAUGGUGGGACAGGGUUAUGCGCCGCAUAUAUAUAUAUAUAUAUAUANNNNNNNNNNNNNNNNNNNNNNNNNNNNNNNNNNNNNNNNNNNNNNNNNNNNNNNNNNNNNNNNNNNNNNNNNNNNNNNNNNNNNNNNNNNNNNNNNNNNNNNNNNNNNNNNNNNNNNNNNNNNNNNNNNNNNNNNNNNNNNNNNNNNNNNNNNNNNNNNNNNNNNNNNNNNNNNNNNNNNNNUAUAUAUAUAUAUUAUUUACUAUUGUUGAUAUUGUUACGGUGAAGUAAUGGAGGAUUUUGUGUUGUCUGGUGAGAUAAAGCUACGCAGCGCAACAACCUAUAUGUUUUCAUUUCUUGAACCGUAUUGGUUUUUCGGUGUUUGUAUUUGAACUAUUAAAGAUUUGUAAUUCUGGAUGACACUGGUUUAUUCUUGAAGCGGUUGUUAUCAUUUUUAGUUGACUGUUAAAUUGUGUUCAGUAUUUCCUAUUUUCCGUUAAUAUUAUAUACUGCGUAUAUGUUGUAGUACAGGUGACCCGCUAUAGCCUUGUCAUUACUUCGUCGAGAUUAGGCUCGGCAUUUGCCAGUACAUGGGGUCGGUUGUACUGGUACUACAUUCUACACACUGUGCAGAUUUUGGAAUUGGUCCAAGCGGCUGUUAUUAGCAUGCUCGGAUUGGAUAGUUGCGGAGACUUGAAGUACGACUGCUCAGCACCCGCAGCUCUUAGAGUCUCCUCCUUUAUCCAUUUAGUUGUGUAUCAUCAUUCAAACAACUUUGUAUUUAUUUGAGACUCUUGUAUGUAUUACUCUAGAAGAUCGUGCAAUUGUGACACCGAAUUUAGGGAUUUGUAGCAGAUGUUUUACGAUUUCAGCUUCCUCUUUUAUAUUUAGAUUAUUGUAGUUAAAUCAAUUCUUCUUCAUUAAUUGGAUUUAUUAAAAAGGAUAAAUUGUUCUAAUGUUGGCUUGCCUAGCAAAUAAAAUAUUAGGUGUCAUGACGGCCCCAUAGUGGGAAUUCCGGGUCGUGCCAUCUUUUCUUGUUACAGCAAAAUCUAAUAUUCCCAUAUAUAGUCUUUGCACAUUUGUGUGGAUACAAUAUAAUAGCGCAAGCAAAAUGAAGAUAUACUUGAUUUCUUAUACAAUAAAUUUAGAAGUUGGGGUCAGUGAGUUCUCCAUUCAAAUACUCUCUGUAAGCAGCAACAGGCCAACUGAAGCCUCUCCAGAUGAGCUUAUUAGCCAAAGGAACAUCAAUAAUGAUUUCUUUCAUAGUUGGUUUCUUGUCAUCUCUUACAGCAAUCAAGUAACUCCUUCCAACCCACCCAAUCCAACCAGCAAUGUACAAGAAGAGAAUCCCUGGUGUGAUAAACUCUCCC
rnacentral:lncRNA from 1 species